UGGGUAACCUGCCUCAAAGAGGGGAAUAGCCUUCCGAAAGGAAGAUUAAUACCGCAUAAUAUGUUUUAAUCGCAUGAUUAGAACAUCAAAAGAGUAAUCCGCUUUGAGAUGGACCCGCGGCGCAUUAGCUAGUUGGUGAGGUAACGGCUCACCAAGGCGACGAUACGUAGCCGACCUGAGAGGGUNAUCGGCCACAUUGGAACUGAGACACGGUCCAGACUCCGUACGGGAGCAG
rnacentral:rRNA from 1 species